UACGUAGGGAGCGAGCGUUGUCCGGAAUUACUGGGUGUAAAGGGAGCGUAGGCGGGACUGCAAGUUGGGUGUCAAAUCUACCGGCUCAACCGGUAGCCGCACUCAAAACUGCAGUUCUUGAGUGAAGUAGAGGCAGGCGGAAUUCCUAGUGUAGCGGUGAAACGCGUAGAUAUUAGGAGGAACACCAGUGGCGAAGGCGGCCUGCUGGGCUUUUACUGACGCUGAGGCUCGAAAGUGUGGGGAGCAAACAGG
rnacentral:rRNA from 1 species